UACAUGGGUGUUUAAUUAUGUGUGGGUAUAAAAUGUUUUGGUUAUACACCGUGGCAAGGUCGCUUUCAUGUUUUGGUAAACAAAUGUGUCGUGCUUGUUUUAUGUGAUGAGUAAGUCUGGUAGUACAAGUGAUCUAAGGAUUGAAUUGGUGCACGUAUACGUGUGUGUGCCGCGAUGUAUUGUAGUGGCGGUGGCGUAAGAUAUUUGUUGAGGUGUGCGGGUAUACACCGUAAAAUGGUUAUACCCGCGACGAGGAAAGAUGCAUGUAUUGUGUAACACGAUGCUUAGGUCGCUAUUAUAUAAACGUGUGAAGGAUGCUCGUGAUGGGUGUGUGAUUGAGGAGUGACGUAGUGGCAAGCGGGAAGUAAGUUUAGUUUUUCAACGGUUAGUGGAUAGUAUCUGUCAGUGUUGUCAUGAAUUUUUGUUGUAUGACGGAUCAAUGCGUAGCUUUAUAAAUUAUUGCAUUCCAUUCCCUUUUGAUAAAUAAAUGUCUUGUUGAUCGAUUAGAAGUCUUAUAUGAGCGUUAUCGCAGCACAAUAAUUAUUGGAGGCGAGUAGCGUUCAUGAGUCAGUCCUUGCUAAAAUUGAAGAACCAUCCGACAACAUAUGCACGUGAGUGCUUUAGGUCCUUCAGUAACCAAUGUAGGUCUUAUGGAGUUUUAUGCCAUGUUUUAAUGUCUCUAUGUUAGACCUCCUAAAAUAUGGUGUUUUAAGUGACUUGUGCGUUGACUAAUUCGAGUGGAGAAAUGGUUAAGAAAAACUAAUUAACCUGCUUCAACCCAUGUUUCGAGUUACAAUGUCUAAAAUGGUUGGCUAAGUCUUAUACGGCGUUAGCCAACUCAUGUUAAGUAAGAGUCGAUGGCGUAAGAGAUUGCGAUAUAUAUACAUGUGGUGUCUCGGACUGCGUUAAUAAUAGGCAAGCCGACGUGUAUGUCGUAUGGCGGGCUAUGCCAUCCCUUUGGUUAAUCGACUAGUUAGAUGGCGUUGGUUAAGCUCGUAGUUACUUUGAAUUACUUGUUGUGGUCUAAAUGCGUAUGGUUAUGGUCGCAGGUAAAAAUUAGUAGUGCUCAUGUGGUGUCUAAGUGAAAAUGCGGACUAGUGGGUGACAAGCGCUUCGAUAUAAAUAUAUGCUGGAUUUGAUGAUUGUGGUGAGUGCGUUUGUUAAAUGAAUGUUGUUGGCGUUUCGACCCCGGGGGGUCCCUGGACCGACGAGUAAAUUGUCGCUGCGUGUCCCAGCCCAGAUGGGUCGGCGCGAGACGGGACACAAAGGGGGAGAACAGUAAAGGGGAACCCGUGGCCUUCGUGUUGUCCUGCGCCCAGGGUGGAUGGAUGCGCUUGCAGUAGGGGGUUACAAGCGUUCGCGUGGGAGAGAGAGAGAGAGAGCGAGAGCCUUAUGCGUCGGCCCGUUCUCCCGCGCGGUCAACCUUCUCGUACGAGAGCCCUGGACCUUCCUUUUAUAGGCGUAAGGAGAGGGUCCAGGUGUACAAUGGGGGUGUAGCAGUGUGCUAACGUGUCUAGCAGAGAGGAGCUAGAGCCCUAAGUACAUAUCGUCAUGGCAGUCAGAGAGGUUUUGGCACCCUGUUCAUGUGAUGUCGUGGCCGUCGGAGGAGCGCUUGGGCCCUGUGGAAGGACAGCUGUCGGGGCUAUCGGAUCCUUGCUGACGUUUCCUUGCUUCCGUAAGGGGCUGAGAGCCAUCUUCGUCAUGGAGCACGCGGGGUGCCAUCAUUACUUGUUUACCGGGGCGAGCCGGAUGGGACGCCGGUCUUGUUCCCCGUAGCCUGAGCUAGCUAGGGGUAGGGUAAUGAUGGCCUUCCUUGUGACGUGGUGGGUCCGAGCCCGAGGUCGGGCGAGGCGGAGGCUCCUCCGAGGUUGAGGCUGAGUCCGAGCCCUGGGGUCGCGCGAGGCGGAGUUCGUCUUCCGAGAUCGAGGUUGAGUCCGAGCCCUGGGUCGGGCGAGGCAGAGUUCGUCUUCCAAGGUCGAGGUUGAGUCUGAGCCCUGGGUCGGGCGAGGCGGAGACCGUCUUCCGAGGCCGAGGCUGUGUCCGAGCCCUGGGGUCGGGCGAGGCGGAGUCCGUCGUCCAGCGUCGAGGUUGAGCCCGAGCCCUGGGGUUGGGCGAGGCGGAGCUUCCUAUGGCGCCCGAGGCUGGACUUAGCUGCUAUCAGCCUCACUCUGUCGAGUGGCACAACAGUCGGAGCGACGCAGGAGGUGCUGUUUUCUUGUCAGGUCGGUCAGUGGAGCGGCGAAGUGACUGCGGUCACUUCGGCUCUGUCGACUGAAGAGCACGCGUUAGGAUAAGGUGUCAGGAGAUCCUUGCAUUAAAUGCUCCUGCGAUACGGUCGGUUGGCGUGGCGAUCUGGCCAAGGUUGCUUCUCUGCGAAGACUGGGCCUCGGGCGAGUCGAAGGUGUGUCCGUUGCUUGAGGGGGCCCUCGGGCGAGACGUGAAUCCUCCGGGGUCGGCUGCCUUUGCCCGAGGCUGGGCUUGGGCGAGGUGAGAUCGUGUCCCUUGAGUGGACUGAGCCUUGACAUUAAUCGCGCCCAUCAGGCCUUUGCAGCUUUGUGCUGAUGGGGGUUACCAGCUGAGAUUAGGAGUCUUAGGGUUACCCCUAAUUAUGGUCCCCGACAGUAGCCCCCGAGCCUCGAAGGGAGUGUUGAUACUCGCUUGGAGGCUUUUGUCGCACUUUUUUGCAAGGGGACUGGCCUUUCUCGGUUGCAUUUCGUUCCGGUGGGUGCGCGCGAGCGCACCCGCCGGGUGUAGCCCCCGAGGCCUCGGAGGAGUGGUUUGACGCCUUCGAGGUCUUAGCGCGUUUCGUGUUGCUUCGGCCGGUCUGGUUGUUCCCUCAUGCAAACUGGCCGUAGCUCGGGUGCAUAGUCGAGUCCCAAGUUCUCGGGCUGGUAUGUUGACGCUGUCAACGGUUUGGCCGGAGCCGGGUUUGCGAGAGCAGCCCCCGAGCCUCCGCACAGAGCGAGAGGACGGUCAAGGACAGACUCGGCUUUUUUCAUUCGCCCCUGCGUCGCAUUUCCGCAAGGAGGAGGGGGAAAUCGCCAUGUUGCCCUCGGAGGGCGCCGAACAUGGUGUCUCCAGUGAGUUGCUAGCGGGUGAUCUGAGUGGACGCCCAUGCCCCAUUCGUUAGGGGUCGGCUAGUGGCCCGGAGGCGCGCUCCAAAAGUACCUGCGGGUGAUUCGCCGGACCAGGUCCCCUUUUGACGGGGUCCGAGGGCUCGAUGCCUCCCUCUGGUGGGAUUCCGUUACAAAAUCGUUCCCGUCGGUCUCGGAAAUGUCCUAGGGUACCUCGAGAGCGUAGCCCGAGCCUUGGUUAUGUAUCGAAUGUACCCAGGGUCAUCCCUCGCUCUGCAUGCUCUGAGGCGGCUAUCGAACCCUUCGGGGGCCAGCCUACGAACCCCUGAUCAGUAGUGGGCGUGGAGCCCGAGUGGCCUGAGGCGGCCAUUGAACCCUUCCGAGGGGCCAGCCUUCGAACCUCUGACCAGUAGUGGGCACGGAGCCCGAGUGCUCUAAGGCGGCUGUUGAACCCUUCCAAGGGGCCAGCCUUCGAACCUCUGAUCAGUAGGGGGGCUCGGGGCUCGCUUCCUUCGCGAAGAAGGAUCCCUUUCGGAGUAUCCCCUUUCUCGGUCCCUAUGGCAAGAGAGAGAGAGGGGAAGAGGAAAAGGAUACGAAAUCGAACGACAUGGCGCACCUUUUUUGACGCGGUCAUUAUGGCGGAGGUGAAGCGUCGCCUGCUUCGCCUGCCAAAGGUGCCGCCUGUCCUGCCGCAGAGUUAAUGCGACGGGACGAGUGGUUCGCGGGGCAGCCGUUGUGCGUGCGCGAGCCGUUCGAGGAACAGAACACGGGCACGUCGUCUUCAUGCCAUGGGAGAGGGUUCUCUCGCUGUCCCAGGAGGGGGCGUGAGCUUGCCGACGACUUGACUGCUGCUUCCGCCCGCCUGCCACCGCCAUUACUGUCGUCCCAUUUCUGGCCGUAUCGACCGUCACACCUUCUCCCGUGGCUGACUGACCCGUGACCGAUGUGCUCGGUUGGCACUAUCGGGUCAUGCGCAGGGUCGCCUCGAGUCGCGGCACCGAUUCCGCAGUCGAGGAGGCGCGAUACUGGCGCGAGUGGCGGUGCAGUUUCUCGCACGUAGUAACCGGCGGGCCGGUUACAUGACGUGUGGGCCUGGGCCUCCAUGCUGGACGCGUCGAAGUCGAAAGGGUGUGCCCCCUUGGUGCGGUUGCAUGCCGCCUGCAUGGUGGUCCGCCCUUUCACCCGCUGGUCCGGGCGAUAGUGGAGGAAGGCUUGUAACCGCUGGGCAGUUGCGCGCACCGCGCGUGGCGGUUUUGGCUCCUUCUGUCCUGGGCCAGCUUGCAUGACGCGUGGGACCCAGCCCCCGUGUCGUAGGGGGAGGACCUUGGAGCGUGUUGGUGAAGACUCAGUCCGCGACGGCUGAGGACGCAAGUGGGGAAAGUCGCCUUUAAAAGGAGGGUGACCCCCUUGGAUGGCAACCAUGUCUUCGUACUCCCUUCAUGCAUCGCGUCCUUCCACCUUCUGAGCCCCCGGAUGGGGAGCGCUCGCGUUGCUUUUGUCUCGUCGUCGUUGGAGGAACGCAACUUCGCGGAAGUUGGUACCUUUCAGCCAUCGUUCGGCUUCAAGGAUUUUCAUCAGGCAGCCCGAAUGCAUCCCCUCGCCGGUGGUCACCCAAGACGGUGACCACCAGUUCGAUGGUGGGGAGAAGCGAGCCGGGCUGCGGCCUCUGCCCCUCCCUCAGCUUUAAGGAUGUUCAUCAUCAGUGCUGGGGAGGGGAGUGCGCCGAGUUGGGGUCCGUCUCCGCGCGGGCAGCGGCCCGCUCCUUCCCUCAGUGAUCGGGGGGAAGGGCGUUCAACGUUCGUGGCGCUGGCAGCUGCCACGUGUCUGGCUCUCCGGCCUGAGCGGCUUCGGCGCUGCUUCCGGUGCCACCUCCCACUGAGGCAGCCGGAAGAGGUUUCUCCGCCGACGAGAUAGUCGGCGCCACCCGUGGACUGACCUCCAACUCUACGGCCUUCUGCUUGUCCUCGCACCUCGAGCGGGGACAUGGGCGAGGGCCUUGUCGCAGCAGCGUCUGCCCUGAGGUCAUCGCUGCUGCUGUUUGGCCGCCCGGAGCGGAGGUCGUUGUCGCUGCUGCCAGAGCGGGCGGCGGUGAGCCGCCUGGGGUUUUGUCGCCCCGCAGGCCCUCCAAUGUGGGGGGUUGUUCGUACUUGCGGGGGUGGAACCGGAGUUCCAUUUGUAAUGGCACCUUGAGUGUCGGUGUCUGUUCAUCGUGGCUGUCGGGGCCUGAACAUGUAUGUAUUUUUGGCAUGAAGCCGUGUUUCUUCCUCAUUUCGAGCACUAGGACUCGCCUGUCGGCUAACUGAACCGCUUAACCAAGUGUGAGUUGCCUCGUGCGAAGGUGACGAGUGAGGUAUCCGUAUCCCGGAGGCGUAGGAGUCCCUCGGCUCGGUCGGCCUUGCCGCCCGAGGCUUAUCUUGCUUAGUUAAAGGAACCCUCGGCCGCUCUGCGGUGAGCCGGGGCCGAGGGCAGCAGUGUGGCGUGGACAGAGGCGGAGUUGGCCCGAAAAAGGAAGCUUCGUCGGCCGGAGCCUGGCCGGGCCGUCCACUAGCGGGACCAGCGCCGGAGUCGGGUUGCCGAGGCCAUGAGCCGGGCUGGUGUCCUCGAGGGACAGCUGGCUGAGGCUUCGGGGCGGCCGGCCGAGCCGACUGCUCGGGUCGGGUUCCUGGAGGAGACCCUGGCGGCGAUGGCCCGGGCGUGGUGCUGACGUCGUCCUUCGGAGCGGAGAUCCUUCGCCCGUGUUGCCAUCCGAGGCUCGGUCGGACUUCGCCGAAGGUGGAGUUGACGCCGAGGGUGCUGCUGCUCCCCCUCCAUCGAAGUCUAAGCCUACAGGAUCGGUUCACCUGUAGUAUGCAUAUGUUUUUUGCGGCCGCCGAGGCCCAAACACACUGUCGUCGCAUUGUAAAGCUGCGUUUCUUUUCCUCUUGUUUCGAGUAUCAGGGCUUGCUCGUCGGUAGCAGAAUCGUUUAUCCGAGCUAGAGUUACUUCUCACGGAAGGUGAUGAGUGAGGUAUCCGUAUCCCGGAGGCGUAGGAAUCCCUCGGCUCGGUCGGCCUUGCCGCUUACGUGUACUCUUGCUCGUCCGCGGGAUUCUAUUAUCGACGUAGCCGAGAAAACCCGAAAAACCGUUUCGGCAGAAAGUCUUUUGAGCGUUAAGGCUUGUUCGGUCAGCAGGAUCGCUCAUCCGAACGCGAGUUACUUCUCGCAGGAGGCGAUGAGUGAGGUAUCCGUAUCCCGGAGGCGUAGGAGUCCCUCGGCUCGGUCGGCCUUGCCUGCUUACGUGUACUCCGUCGUUUUCAUGAUCCCACUACCGAAGUAGUCGAAAAGCACGAAAGAUAUUCUGGCAGAAAGACUUUUUCCGAGGAAAAUUUUGACGCGGAGGGGGUUCCCCCCUUCUAGCCCCCGAGGGAGGGCCGGGCUUUGCCGAGGCAAGGCUGACCCUUCCUUGAUGGUUAGACUUCAUAUGUAAAUGAGGUAUAUGAACGACUUGAAAACAUCUUAAGGGUAGAAGCGACGUAGCUGUCGGAUGUUCCAAGCGUUGCUGUAGACCUCGCCUUGACUGUUGGCCAGCUUGUACGUCUCGGGCUUCAAAACCUUGGCGAUGAUGAAUGGCCCUUCCCAGGGAGGCGUGAGCUUGUGGCGCCCUCGGGCGUCUUGUCGCAGCCGAAGCACCAAGUCGCCCACCUGGAGGUCUCGGGACCGUACCCCUCGGGCGUGGUAGCGUCGCAGGGACUGCUGAUACCGCGCCGAGUGUAAUAAGGCCAUGUCCCGAGCCUCUUCCAGCUGGUCCAGUGAGUCUUCUCGGUUGGUCUGGUUGCAUCGGUCGUCGUACACCCUCGUCCUCGGGGAACCGUAUUCUAAGUCUGUGGGCAAGAUGGCCUCGGCUCCAUAGACUAGAAAGAACAGCGUGAAACCCGUGGCUCGACUUGGCGUUGUCCUCAGACUCCAGACCACCGAGGGGAGUUCCUUCAUCCAUCGCUUGCCGAACUUGUUGAGGUCGUUGUAGAUCCGUGGCUUGAGUCCUUGCAGAAUCAUGCCGUUAGCACGCUCUACUUGCCCAUUCGUCAUGGGGUGAGCCACGGCGGCCUAGUCCACCCGGAUGUGGUGAUCCUCGCAGAAGUCUAGGAACUUUCUGCCGGUGAACUGGGUGCCGUUGUCGGUGAUGAUGGAGUUUGGGACCCCAAAGCGAUGGAUGAUGUUGGUGAAGAAUGCCACCGCCUGUUCGGACCUGAUGUUGUUUAGGGGUCGGACCUCGAUCCACUUGGAGAAUUUGUCGAUGGCAACCAGUAGGUGCGUGUAGCCCCCGGGUGCCUUCUGCAAGGGACCAACGAGGUCCAGACCCCACACAGCAAACGGCCAGGUGAUGGGUAUUGUUUGCAGAGCCUGAGCGGGUAGGUGUGUCUGCCUUGCGUAGAAUUGACACCCUUGGCAGGUGCGGACAAUUCUAGUGGCGUCGACCACCAUGGUCGGCCGGUAGAAACCUUGUCGGAAAGCGUUUCCAACAAGGGCUCGAGGCGCUGCGUGAUGACCGCAAGCCCCCGAGUGUAUUUCUUGUAAGAGCUCCUGGCCUUCGGCGAUGGAUAUGCAUCGCUGGAGGAUGCCGGAGGGGCUGCGGUGGUAGAGCUCCUUCCCGUCACCCAGCAAGACGAAUGACUUGGCGCGCCGCGCCAGUCGCCGAGCUUCGGCUCUAUCGAGGGGUAGCUCUCCUCGUGGAGAUAUUGCAGGUACGGGGUCUGCCAGUUUCGAUUAGGCGUGACCCCAUUCCGCUCUUCCUCGAUGCGCAGUGCCUCACCCUUGGGGGCCGAGGGUGUCUCGGGCUGAGCCGAGGGUGCCUCAGGCUGAGCCGAGGGCACCUCGGGCAGGGCCGAGACCUUCUCGGGCUCGGGCGUGUCGUUUGUCUUGACUGAGGGUUGAUGUAGGUCCUGGGAGAAGACGUUCGGGGGAACCGUUGUUCGCGCCGAAGCUAUCUUCGCUAGCUCGUACGUAGUCUCGUUGUACCACCGGGCGACGUGGUUGACCUCGAGCCCGUAGAACUUGUCCUCCAGGCGCCGAACCUCGUCGCAGUAGGCUUCCAUCUUCGGGUCGCGGCAGUGGGAGUUCUUCAUGACUUGGUCGAUGACAAGCUGCGAGUCACCGCGAGCGUCGAGGCGUCGGACCCCUAGCUCGAUGGCGAUGCGCAACCCGUUGACCACUCAGCCACGUUGUUGGACGCCGGGAAAUGGAGGCGCAGCACGUAGCGGAGGUGCUUCCCGAGGGGCGAGAUGAAGAGCAGGCCUGCGCCCGCUCCUGUUUUCAUCAGCGACCCGUCGAAAAACAUGGUCCAGAGUUCUGGUUGGAUCGGAGCUGCUGGAAGCUGGGUGUCGACCCAUUCAGCCACAAAGUCCGCCAUGACUUGGGACUUGAUGGCCUUCUGAGGGACGAACGAGAUUGUCUCGCCCAUGAUUUCCACCGCCCACUUUGCAAUCCUACCCGAGGCCUCUCGGCACUGGAUGAUCUCCCCCAGGGGGAAGGAUGACACCACAGUCACCGGAUGAGACUCGAAGUAGUGUCGCAACUUCCGCCGCGUCAGAAUCACCGCGUACAGCAGCUUCUGAAUUUGUGGGUAGCGGAUCUUGGUCUCGGACAGUACCUCACUGAUGAAGUAGACCGGCCUCUGGACGGGCAAUGCAUGCCCUUCUUCUCGUCUCUCAACCACGAUCGCGGCGCUGACCACCUGAGUGGUAGAGGCGACGUAGAUCAAGAGGGCUUCUCUGGCAGCAGGGGCACCAAGAUGGGCGCGCUGGUAGGAGCGCUUUUAGGUUCCCGAGGGCUUCCUCGGCCUCGGGGGUCCAAGUGAAGCGCUCGGUAUUCCUCAAGAGGCGGUACAGAGGUAGGCCUCUUUCGCCGAGGCGCGAGAUGAAACGGCUCAGAGCCGUAAGGCAUCCCAUGACCCUCUGUACUCCUUUCAAGUCCUUGAUGGGGCCCAUGCUAGCGAUGGCCGCGAUUUUCUCUGGGUUGGCCUCGAUGCCCCGCUCGGAGACGAUGAACCCCAAGAGCAUGCCUCGGGGGACUCCGAAGACGCACUUCUCGGGAUUGAGUUUUACGCCUUUCGCCUUGAGACACCGGAAUGUCGUUUCAAGGUCGGAGAGGUGGUCGGAGGCUUUCCUCGUCUUGACUACGAUGUCAUCGACGUAAGCCUCGACCGUUCGACCAAUGUGCUCUCCGAACACGUGGUUCAUGCACCUUUGGUACGUUGCACCCGCAUUCCUCAAACCAAAUGGCAUAGUAACGUAGCAAUACAUGCCAAAGGGCGUGAUGAAAGAAGUCGCGAGCUGGUCGGACUCUUUCAUCCUGAUUUGGUGAUACCCUGAGUAGGCAUCGAGGAAAGACAGGGUUUCGCACCCAGCAGUGGAAUCCACGAUUUGAUCGAUGCGAGGCAGAGGGUAGGGAACCUUCGGACAUGCUUUGUUUAGACCAGUGUAGUCUACACACAUCCGCCAUUUCCCUCCUUUCUUUUUCACAAGCACAGGGUUGGCAAGCCCUUUGGGAUGGAAUACCUCUUUGAUGAACCCUGCGGCCAUCAGCUUGUGAAUCUCCUUGCCUAUGGCUCUGCGCUUUUCUUCGUCGAAUCGACGCAGAGGCUGCUUCACGGGUCGGGCUCCAGCUCGGAUAUCCAGCGAGUGCUCGACGACAUCCCUCGGUAUGCUAGGCAUGUCCGAGGGACUCCACGCAAAGACUUCGGUGUUCACGCGGAGAAAGUCGACGAGCACUGCUUCCUAUUUGGGGUCGAGCUCGGAGCCGAUCUGUAUCUGCUUGGAGGCGUCGUUGCUGGGGUCGAGAGGGACGGAUUUGACCGUCUCAGCCGGCUCGAAGUUGCUGGCGUGGCACUUCGCAUCUGGCGCCUCCUUGGAGAGGCUCUCCAGGUCGGCGACGAGGGCCUCAGCGUACUCCACGCACUCCACGUCGCAUUCGUACGCGUGUCGGUAUGUGGGGCCGACGGUGAUGACCCCGUUGGGGCCCGACAUUUUGAGCUUGAGGUAGGUGUAGUUGGGGACGACCAUGAACUUGGCGUAGCAUGGCCUCCCCAGUACUGCGUGGUAGGUUCCUCGGAACCCAACCACCUCGAACGUGAGGGUUUCCCUUCGGAAGUUGGAGGGAGUCCCGAAGCAGACGGGCAGAUCGAGUUGUCCGAUGGGUUGACCGCGUUUCCUGGGGAUGAUCCCAUGAAAAGGCGCCGCGCCUGUCCGGAUCGAGGACAGAUCGAUCUGCAGGAGCCCGAGGGUCUCGGCGUAGAUGAUGUUGAGGCUGUUGCCUCCGUCUAUGAGGACCUUGGUGAGCCUGACGUUGCCGAUGACGGGGUCAACAAUGAGCGGAUAUUUCCCUGGGCUCGGCACGCAGUCGGGGUGGUCGCCCUGAUCGAAGGUGAUGGGCUUGUCGGACCAGUCUAGGUAGACUGGCGCCGCCACCUUUACCGAGCAGACCUCCCGACGCUCUUGCUUGUGGUGCCGAGCCGAGGCGUUCGCCACUUGCCCACCGUAGAUCAUGAAGCAGUCGUGGACCUUGGGGAACUCCUCUGCCUUGUGAUCCUCCUUCUUGUCGUUGUUGUGGGCCCUGCCGCCUUCUGCAGGUGGCCCGACCUUGUGAAAGUGGCGCCGAAGCAUGACACACUCCUCAAGGGUGUGCUUGACGGGCCCCUGAUGAUAGGGGCACGGCUCCUUGAGCAUCUUAUCAAAGAGAUUGGCACCUCCAGGAGGUUUUCGAGGGUUCUUGUACUCAGCGGCGACGACAAGGUCCGCGUCGACGGCGUCGCGUUUCGCUUGCGACUUCUUCUUGUUCUUCUUCUUGGUGUCGCGUUGAGUGGACGCCUCGGGGACGUCUUCCGGCUGGCGGCCCUGGGGCUGCUUGUCCUUUCGGAAGAUGGCCUCAACCGCCUCCUGGCCAGAGGCGAACUUGGUGGCGAUGUCCAUCAGCUCGCUCGCCCUGGUGGGGGUCUUGCGACCCAGCUUGCUCACCGGGUCACGGCAGGUGGUGCCGGCGAGGAACGCGCCGAUGACGUCCGAGUCGGUGACGUUGGGCAGCUCGGUGCGCUGCUUCGAGGAUCGCCGGAUGUAGUCCCGGAGAGACUCUCUCGGCUGCUGGCGGCAGCUUCGGAGAUCUCAGGAGUUCCCAGGGCGCACGUACGUGCCCUGGAAGUUGCCGGCGAAGGCUUGGACCAGGUCGUCCCAGUUGGAGAUCUGCCCCGGAGGCAGAUGCUCCAGCCAGGCUCGAGCGGUGUUGGAGAGGAACAGGGGGAGGUUGCGGAUGAUGAGGUUGUCAUCGUCCGUUCCACCCAGCUGGUAGGCCAGUCGGUAGUCUGUGAGCCACAGUUCUAACUCGUCUCCCCCGAGUACUUUGUGAUGGUAGUUGGGGUUCGGAACCGGGUCGGGAACGGCGCCCGUCGUAUGGCCCGGCUGAAAGCCUGUGGACCGGGUGGUUUGGGCGAGGGACUCCGAUCCUCCCCGCUGUCGUAGCGUCCCCCAUGCCUGGGGUGGUAGCCUCGGCGCACCCUCUCGUCGAGGUGGGCUCGACGGUUGCGGUGGUGGUGCUCGUUGUCGAGGCGACCCGGGGCCGCAGGCACCGUGUUGCGCGUGCGCCCGGUGUGGACCGAGGCUUCCCGCAUGAAUCGGGAAGUCGCGGCGUGAUGCUCCGAGGGGUACCCCUGCCUUUGGGAGGCAGAGCUUUCGGCCCGCCGGACCGCGGCAUCCUCCAGGAGAUUCUUGAGCUCUCCCUGGAUACGCCGCCCUUUGGUGGUCGAUGGUUCCGGCAUCGCGCGGAGUAGUAUUGCUGUUGCAGCCAGGUUCUGGCCGACCCCACUAGAAGCCGGUGGCGGCCUUGCCCUGACGUCGUCGGCAAUGCGGUGCUGGAUGCCCUGGGGUAGAUGACGCGCUUCUCCGGCCGGAGCUUGGUCUGCCCAUUCCUGCCCGAUGUUCCGCCGGAACUGCUCAAGUGUUCCUGCUCCCUCGUCGAGCCUAGCCUGCAUCUCGUGGAUUUGCUCGAGCUGUGCGUCCUGACCGCCCGCAGGGACUGGGACCACAGCUAGCUCCCGAAGGAUGACAAUGUGAGGCACAGGCCUAGGGGGAUCGCCAUUUUCCGGCAUACCAAGAUGGUUGCCUUCAAUGGGACCCCAUAGAUCGACGUGGAAACAUUCACGACUUGGGCCGCAGUCCUCGUCGCCGAAGCUGCGGCUACCAUCGGAACAAUCACAGAGGCAGUAGUCGCAUGCGGUCAUGAAGUCCCGCAUGGCACUGGGGUUACCGAGCUCGGAGAAAUCCCAACAAAAGUCAGGCUCGUCAUCUUCCUCGGAACCCAGGGGUCCAUAGGUCGAGACGGCCAUCAGUCUGUCCCAGGGCAAUCGCAAAUGGUACCCCGGAGGGUUGGUACAUGCCUCUAUGAAGGCUUCCACCGAAGCGAGGUCGCUUGGUGGGUCGAAGCUGAAUCCAAAAGGCACGAGAUGGGAAUCGGUCGGUACCUCUUGGUCGACGGGCAGUGACGAAGUCGCGUCAGGGGCGGACUGCACCGUUGUCUCACGUACGAGGGCGACGCCCAGCAAGUCCUUCACGAGCGUGCUGGCGUCGUUCGUCUGCUUGGGGUUGGCGUGUUGCGGGGAAACGGUGCUCGUCUUCGUCUCAGACGCAAGGUCGAAGCCCGACGUGUCCCCCGCUGGGGCGCCGGUGUCAUCGACUUGCUCGACAGCCGACGAGGUGCCGCCUCCUGCUUGGCCAUGGUUGCCCCGCCUCCUCCUCCGUCGGCGGGGGAGGUGACGGGACAAACCCGGAUGUUGUUCUUCUGCCAUGUGGGGAAGACGUCGUUGAUUCCGCCGCUGGCGGGCGGGCUGACGGCCGCCAUUGUCGCUGUCGCACGGCAGAGGAAGGAGUAUCAUGUUGUAGCUGCCGUCGAGGGACAUGAACUCAAGACUCCCGAAUCGGAGCAUCGUCCCGGGUUGGAAAGGUUGCUGGAGACUACCCAUCUGGAGCUUGACGGGAAGCUGUUCGUCAACACGCAGCAGGCCCCUACCUGGCGCACCAACUGUCAGCGUUUCGACCCCGGGGGGUCCCUGGACCGACGAGUAAAUUGUCGCUGCGUGUCCCAGCCCAGAUGGGUCGGCGCGAGACGGGACACAAAGGGGGAGAACAGUAAAGGGGAACCCGCGGCCUUCGUGUUGUCCUGCGCCCAGGGCAGAUGGAUGCGCUUGCAGUAGGGGGUUACAAGCGUUCGCGUGGGAGAGAGAUAGAGAGAGAGAGCGAGAGCCUUAUGCGCCGGCCCGUUCUCCCGCGCGGCCAACCUUCUCGUACGAGAGCCCUGGACCUUCCUUUUAUAGGCGUAAGGAGAGGGUCCAGGUGUACAACAGGGGUGUAGCAGUGUGCUAACGUGUCUAGCAGAGAGGAGCUAGAGCCCUAAGUACAUGUCGUCGUGGCAGUCGGAGAGGUUUUGGCACCCUGUUCAUGUGAUGUCAUGGCCGUCGGAGGAGCGCUUGGGCCCUAUGGAAGGACAAUUGUCGGGGCUGUCGGAUCCUUGCUGACGUUUCCUUGCUUCCGUAAGGGGCUAAGAGCCGCUGUCGUCAUGGAGCACGCGGGGCGCCAUCAUUACUUGUUUACCGGGGCGAGCCGGAUGGGACGCCGGUCUUGUUCCCCGUAGCCUGAGCUAGCUAGGGGUAGGGUAAUGAUGGCCUUCCUUGUGACGUGGCGGGUCCGAGCCCGAGGUCGGGCGAGGCAGAGGCUCCUCCGAGGUCGAGGCUGAGUCCGAGCCCUGGGGUCGGGCGAGGCGGAGUUCGUCUUCCGAGGUCGAGGUUGAGUCCGAGCCCUGGGUCGGGCGAGGCGGAGACCGUCUUCCGAGGCCGAGGCUGUGUCCGAGCCCUGGGGUCGGGCGAGGCGGAGUCCGUCGUCCAGCGUCGAGGUUGAGCCCGAGCCCUGGGGUCGGGCGAGGCGGAGCUUCCUAUGGCGCCCAAGGCUGGACUUAGCUGCUGUCAGCCUCACUCUGUCGAGUGGCACAGCAGUCGGAGCGACGCAGGCGGCACUGUUUUCUUGUUAGGUCGGUCAGUGGAGCGGCGAAGUGACUGCGGUCACUUCGGCUCUGUCGACUGAAGAGCGCGCGUCAGGAUAAGGUGUCAGGCGAUCCUUGCAUUAAAUGCUCCUGCGAUACGGUCGGUUGGCGUGGCGAUCUGGCCAAGGUUGCUUCUCUGCGAAGACUGGGCCUCGGGCGAGCCGAAGGUGUGUCCGUUGCUUGAGGGGGCCCUCGGGCGAGACGUGAAUCCUCCGGGGUCGGCUGCCUUUGCCCGAGGCUGGGCUCGGGCGAGGCGAGAUCGUGUCCCUUGAGUGGACUGAGCCUUGACGUUAAUCGCGCCCAUCAGGCCUUUGCAGCUUUGUGCUGAUGGGGGUUACCAGCUAAGAUUAGGAGUCUUGGGCGUACCCCUAAUUAUGGUCCCCGACAAAUGUGGUAAUAUUAGUGCACUAAAUGAUUCGGAUAAAAUUUGUAGUCUACUUGUUAGUCCUCAUUUAAUUAAUUUAACUCUAAGAAAUGGUAAAGUGCUAGAAUGAUUCAAGUCUCUAGAAUGCGGCAAAUUCUUGAAUUAUAGGAGCUGAAAUUUAUUGAUUGCUGUUUUGGGCUGCACGCAUUGUUUUCGUUGUGCUGUUUGUUUGAUAAACCAAAUCAUGUUUUCUGUAGAAAGGUCAUAUAGAAGAGUUGUAGAUAACAUGAUUAUCUUGCUUGUACUAAAAUUUGAAAGCCAUAAACCUGAUCGUUUAAGAGUUGUGCUUUUCACAAGCCCAACACCUGAAUCUGUCGAAUUUCUGAACAGAUUUCAGAAAUUGCAAUGGUUGCUUAAGUUAAUGUUGAAAUAAGUUAUUGGUGGUCACAAGAAAGUUGUAGAUAACUCUAUUAUCUUACUUGUGUUAAAAUUUGACAGCCAUAGGUCUGGCAGUUUAGGAGUUAGGCUUUUUACAAAUUCAGUAACUGAAUCUGUCCACUUUCUGUAUAGAUUUCAGAAGCUGCAUUGUUUGCUUAAGUUAAUGUUAGAAUCAGCCCUUGUCGAUUAUACGAAAGUUGUAGAGGCUUUUCUUAUAUUGCUUGUGUUAAAAUUUCAUAACUAUAGGCCUGACGGUUUAAGAGUUAUGAAUUUUACAAACUGGUUGUUGUGUUCUGUCCACCGUUAGAACAGAUUUCGAAAACUGUGUUGUUUGAUUUAGUUAAACAUUGAAUCACUUCUUAGUGAUUAUAAAAGUUAUGUGGUGCUUUUGCUGAGCUUUCCAAAAAGUCUUAGAUCACUCUUUUUGGUGGUCUGAAGCUUAAGUUAUGAAUGUUUCAAUUACGAAGACUGAAUCUGUCCAGUUCUGGACAGCAAAGUCUUUUAGUGAUGUUUAUCCUUAGUUAAAUAUUGAAUCACCUUGAGAUGUUUAUAAAUGAUAUGUAGAAAAUUUUAUUACCUUUCUAGAAAGUCUAGGAUCAAUUUGUUUGGAUGUCUGAAUCUUCAGUUAUGAAUUUUUAAAGUCACAAGUCUGAAUCUGUCUAAAUCUGGACAGAGCUUCUGUGAUUGCACUUUUUGACCUUGCUAUGUGUUGAAUCAGGUUGAGGUGAAAAUAUCAAAGUUAUAGUUCACUUUUUAAGCUUUCCAGAAAGUCCGAGUUUGCUAUUUUUGGAUUAAUAUUUGAAAAGUUAUGAUUAAAACAAGUAACUGCUGUAUUGCUGUCCAAAAAAAUUCUGCUAGUGCUUAUUUAAUUGUUAGUUCACCCUUUUGGCUAAAAAUGGUUGGUUAACACUAAAUUAAUAUAGACUUGCCAUGACUAAGCGUAAUAAUGCAUGUGUGUCAUGUUUUAUAUGUUUCUUCUUUAGUUGAUUGUGAUAUAGAAUUUCCAUAGACAUUGAUGCCUAUGUCAUCGGUUAAACUUGUGUUGGAUGCUUUGGUGUGAUAAAUAGAAGAACUAAUGAAAAGCCGUAGCAAAUUAAAUAAACGCUUGUACUUAUGGGGUUGUAUUUGUGUUGCGUAAAUAUACAAAAUGUUUGUCGUCUUUUAGUGGUGUUAAUGUUGUGCGCUCGAUGAUAGGUAGUUAGCUAACGCUAGUGUGUGUGGUUGCUUGUGAUGUCUCGCUACUUGGUGUUUAAUUCGCUAGCGUGUACUUAAAGUAUCUUGUGCUAUUUUAUUAUAUUCAUACAUAUGCAUCUUGCACCUCAUAUAGGACCGAGAGAUGAUGAUCGAGCCAGUGAUGUGGUGCCAACCACAAGACGCGGUUGGUGGACAACCUGAAGAAUGGACUUAACCAGUGGAUGCUCGUCGAGCGAGUACCCACCCCAACAAACACUAUCUAAGUGUCAAAUUAAAGGCAAGCCCCGGUUUUAUGCAUAACCAGUUCUAUAUAUUAUUUUACUGCACUUAAUGUUUGUAGGCUUGUAUUGUGCACAUAAGUGUAGGAGUUGUUUGGAACCUUAGUUGCAUGACUCAGGUUACCUUUUGAGAUUUAUACUAGUAUGCUAGGUCGAGUAGCUGCUUGCUAAUUAGGGAUCUCGGUAGAAGUCGAGUGAUUUUUCUAGCACUCGCACGAGGUCAGGAAUUGGUUGUACCCACUUUCAUAUCAUAUGGAUGAUUGGUCUGUGGACACGGAUCCAUGGGGAUGCGUGGUCUACGAGAUGAAUUGGAAUAAGGAUUAACGUGCGGAUACCAGUGUCAAGCGUUUGAAUGUACUAAACAUAUGCCGAGAAAUAUGGUAAAUCGGUAAGCCUAGUACCUGAUUGAACCUGCCCGCAGACAUAUCCCCUCACGCGACCUGAG
rnacentral:lncRNA from 1 species